rnacentral:rRNA from 1 species
ACCCGCACAAGCAGCGGAGCGUGUGGUUUAAUUCGAUGCUACACGAAGAACCUUACCAGGGUUUGACAUGCAAGUGGUAGGAAUCUGAAAAGGGACCGACCCUUCGGGGAGCUUGCACAGGUGCUGCAUGGCUGUCGUCAGCUCGUGUCGUGAGAUGUUCGGUUAAGUCCGCUAACGAGCGCAACCCUCACUGUGUGUUAUAUGUGUCACACGGGACUGCCGGUUUUAAGCCGGAGGAAGGUGGGAUGACGUCAAGUCAGCAUGGCCUUUAUAUCCUGGGCUACACACACGCUACAAUGGUCAGUACAAUGGGUUGCCAAGCCGCGAGGCGGAGCCAAUCCUAAAAAGCUGGCCUCAGUUCAGAUUGCAGUCUGAAACUCGACUGCAUGAAGUCGGAGUUGCUAGUAAACGCAGGUCAGCUAUACUGCGUUGAAUACGUUCCCGGGGCUU